rnacentral:rRNA from 1 species
CAGCCGCCGCGGUAAAACGGAGGGGGCUAGCGUUGCUCGGAAUUACUGGGCGUAAAGCGCACGUAGGCGGCUUGGUAAGUUAGAGGUGAAAGCCCGGAGCUCAACUCCGGAAUUGCCUUUAAGACUGCCGAGCUAGUAGGUGAGAGAGGUAAGUGGAAUUCCGAGUGUAGAGGUGAAAUUCGUAGAUAUUCGGAAGAACACCAGUGGCGAAGGCGGCUUACUGGCUCAUUCUAGACGCUGAGGUGCGAAAGCGUGGGGAGCAAACAGGAUUAGAUACCCGGGUAGUCCCUGUCUCUUAUAC